rnacentral:rRNA from 1 species
UACGAAGGGGGCGAGCGUUGUUCGGAAUUACUGGGCGUAAAGGGCGCGUAGGCGGCGACUCUAGUCAGAUGUGAAAGUCCUGGGCUUAACCUGGGGACUGCAUUUGAUACUGGGUUGCUUGAAUUCGGGAGAGGAUAGCGGAAUUCCCAGUGUAGAGGUGAAAUUCGUAGAUAUUGGGAAGAACACCGGUGGCGAAGGCGGCUAUCUGGACCGACAUUGACGCUGAGGCGCGAAAGCGUGGGGAGCAAACAGA